rnacentral:ncRNA from 2 species
AGGACUACCCGCUGAACUUAAGCAUAUC